CCCAGUGGUUAGUCAGCCGCCCGGGCUCCCGUGCCCGGCUCGGCGUUACGUCGCUGGGAGAGCAACGGCCCCCCAAGGCUCCCCCGCUGCCUCUCGUCGUCUUGACGCGGGGGCAGUGGGGGGCAGGGGGGCGGGGCCUGCUCGAGAGUGGGCGGGGCUCGCGCCGUCGGCCCCGCCCUAGUCAGCGCGCCUACAAA